ensembl:snoRNA U3 Small nucleolar RNA U3
AAGAUUAUACUUUCAGUGAUCUUUUUUUUAGUUUUCUACUAGAAAAGUGUCUCUGAACCUGGAGAGCACCAGAAACCAUGAGGAGGAGAUGUAGCGCUCUCUCCUGAGCUUAAAGCUGGCUCUUGGUUUUGCUUUGCUGCAACUGCUUUUUGCCAUUGAUGAUCAUUCUUCUCUUCCUCCUGGGAAGUAAGAGAGAGAAGAUGCAGCACGAAUGGU